rnacentral:rRNA from 1 species
GAUGAACGCUGGCGGCGUGCUUAACACAUGCAAGUCGAACGAUGAAGCCCAGCUUGCUGGGUGGAUUAGUGGCGAACGGGUGAGUAACACGUGAGUAACCUGCCCUUGACUCUGGGAUAAGCCCGGGAAACUGGGUCUAAUACCGUAUAGGAGCGCCUGUCGCAUUACGGGUGCUGGAAAGAUUUUUCGGUCAUGGAUGGACUCGCGGCCUAUCAGCUUGUUGGUGAGGUAAUGGCUCACCAAGGCGACGACGGGUAGCCGGCCUGAGAGGGUGACCGGCCACACUGGGACUGAGACACGGCCCAGACUCCUACGGGAGGCAGCAGUGGGGAAUAUUGCACAAUGGGCGGAAGCCUGAUGCAGCGACGCCGCGUGAGGGAUGACGGCCUUCGGGUUGUAAACCUCUUUCAGUAGGGAAGAAGCGGAAGUGACGGUACCUGCAGAAGAAGCACCGGCUAACUACGUG